UACGCCUAAGUGUCCUUGGGCAAGACACUGAACCCCAAAUUCCUCCUAAUGUCAAGUUAGCACCUUGCGUGGCAGCUCUGCUACCACUGGUGUGUGUGUGUGUGUGUGUGUGUGUGUGUGUGAAUGGGUGAAUGAGAACCAGUGUAAAGCGCUUUAGAACCAUAGGGGUUAAGAAAGUGCAGACCAUUUCCCAUGCUUUUCUGUGAUAUAAUGGAUAUUCUGAUAUCCUUGGGUUAAAAAAAAAAAAAUUACAAAUUGUUAAAAGUAUUUAAAAUUAGAAGUGAAUAGAAGUAGUUAGAAGUUAGUAGUAGUUAGAAGUAGAAGUGGUAGAAGUGAAUAGAAGUAGAAGUAGUUAGAAGUAGAAGUGAAUAGCAGUAGUUAGAAUUAGAAGUAGUUAGAAGUGAAUAGAAGUAGGUAGAAGGGAACAGAAGUAGUUAGAAGUAGAAGUGAGUAGAAGUGAAUAGAAGUAGUUAGAAGUAGUAGUGAAUAGAAGUAAGAAGAAAUCGGUAGAAGUAGUCAGAAGUAGAAGUGGAUAGAAGUCGAAGUAGUUAGAAGUGAGUAGAAGUAGUUAGAUGUGGUUAAAAGUGAAUAGAAGUGAGUAGAAGUAGUUAGAUGUGGUUCGAAUUGAAUAGAAGCAGUUAGAAGUAGAAGUGAAUAAAAGUAAAUAGAAGUAGGUAGAUGUGAAUAGAACUGGUUAGAAGUAGAAGUGAAUAGAAGUAGUUAGAAAGUAGGAAUAGUUAGAAGUAAGUAGAAGUGAAUAGAAGUAGAAGUGAAUAGAAGUAGUUAGAAGUAAAUGGAAGUGAGUAGAAGUGAGUAGAAGUAGAAGUAGUUAGUAGAAGUGAGUAGAAGUGAAUAGAAGUAGAAGUGAAUAGAAGUAGAAGUGAGUAGAAGUGAGUAGAAGUAGUUAGUAGAAGUGAAUAGAAGUAGAAGUGAGUAGAAGUAGUAAGUAGAAGUGAGUAGAAGUUAGUAGAAGGGAGAAGUAGAAGUGAGUAGAAGGGAGUAGAAGUAGAAGUGAGUAGAAGUAGAAGUGAAUAGAAGUAGAAGUGAGUAGAAGUAGAAGUACUUAGUAGAAGUGAGUAGAAGUAGAAGUAGUUAGUAGAAGUGAGUAGAAGUAGAAGUAGUUAGUAGAAGUGAGUAGAAGUAGUGAGUAGAAGUGAAUAGAAGUAGAAGUGAGUAGAAGUGAAUAGAAGUAGAAGUGAGUAGAAGUAGAAGUAGUUAGAAGAAGUGAUUAGAUGGCAAGAUGUUGGACCUAAUGAUUAAAAUAAUUUGCUUGUAUGUGUGUUUUAGUGGCGCUCUGCUGCACUGUUGUACCGGCAGUAAUGCACAGACCUGUGUUCGUCAGGAGGCGUAUGGUAGAAAUACCUUCCAGAAUCAUGAUAUAUUUCAUAUCUCUCGCCCUCACACCUGGAAGCGAGUUGCACUUGUAUCCUCACAUGUAGAUAAUCCCUAAAUGUCCUGGCGCAGAGCUUCAGAACCUCCUCCUGGACUCUGUCAUGGUCAGAUUGACAGCUUUGUGCUGGGCCUGUCUCUGUGAUGAAGACGGAGACUGCUCGCUCCUCUGAGCGUGUUCCUGGAGCUCGGCGGUUCACGCCGGAGUGCUUUAGUUCUCUCGUUAAACCCCAGACGUCGCCUGAGCGGCGUAAACGUCAGUCCCCUGCCCCGCGUGACCCUGUAAGGCGCACGAGCGCGCCGAGCCGAGAUGUGGUGGAAGAGCCGCUGUAUUCUUUACUAGCUCUGGAACCGGAGCCUUGGCUUCUCGCGGCAGGUUAUACGGACACGACGCAGAGUCUCGGAGAGACUUUAUUGUACUUUUGUGUCCCGGAGCGCAUGCCUUGGUCUACUUCCUCUGACUAAAAAAAAUUUUUUUUUUUAAAUAAACGUGAUAUUUAAAAAUAUAUAUAUAUUUUGGAUGAUGC
ensembl:lncRNA